rnacentral:misc_RNA from 1 species
GUGAAUCAUCGAAUCUUUGAACGCACCUUGCGCCCUCUGGUAUUCCGGAGGGCAUGCCUGUUUGAGUGUCAUUAAAUUCUCAACUUCAUUAGUUUUUAUGACUGAUUGAAGCUUGGAUGUGGGGGUUUGCUGGCAUCUUAGAUGUUUCGGCUCCCCUUAAAUGAAUCGGUCGGGCUUAUCGUGUGCCGGUCCACGGGCGUUGUAUCACCCUCGUCCUGGGAUGGCGCUCGACUCGAAGGCCCCUCCUCGACCUGCCUAUGGAGCGGCGGUCAAAGGCGCUUUGCCACUUUGUGAUCUGAC